CACUGAACGGGUGGGAGCCAGGGGACUGGAGCCCGUGGAGAGGCUGUCAGGCGCCGGACCCCGAGGCGGCCCCGAGGUCCCCAGCCUUCUUGCUGCUGCUGCGGGUGAGGGACACGCCUGAAAACUGCGGCACCGCGAGGCGCGAGGGCCCGAAUGACCCGGGUUCCCGCGGCGGAGCGGAGCCCGCAGCUGUUGAGUGAGAGCCUCCCAGAAGUAUCAGCAAGCUGUCAUCGCCUCCCUUCCCGCUGGGGGUGGAAGGGGGGCUUUCAACCCAAUCCCUGCGCACAAAGAGAGACAGAGAGAACAAAAGCCCAGCCGCCCCCAAACACCCCUUGUGCCCGACUGCAGCCCGGGGCAGAGGUCCCCAGACGC